rnacentral:tRNA from 1 species
GGGCCCAUAGAUCAGUGGAAGAUCGUUGCCUUCGCAAGGCAAAGGCCGCGGGUUCGAAUCCCGCUGGGUCCA